rnacentral:lncRNA from 1 species
CUCCUUCUCUUCGUCUCCACUCUCUUUCUCUUCGCCUCUCCGCCUCUCGCGCCUCCACUCUUUGCCUCUUCGUAUCUCGCCGCCACAACAGCCUUGAUUUCUCUUCGCCUCUUCGUCUCGCAUCUUCGUCGGAUACCUCUCUUUCUCUUUUUGUUUCGUCCAGCACAGUGAAAGGUGCGUGUGUGUGUGUCGUGGAGCCUAAACGGCGUUUAUUUCAGUGAUUCCUCACUUUCUUUCUUUUUUCGUUUCUUUGAUACUCAAAGUAGAUGAGCUAGGGGAAUUCAGUGAGUGCAAGUAUAUUGUUCUGCCCUGCACCCCUCUGCAGCAACACAGGGGAUGCACAAGCACAAGCACAGAUUAUGAGACAAAGACAAACCUGUUUCAUGUUAUGGUGUGGGAAGGGAGGGAACGAUAAUGUUGUUUUUAAUUUAAAAGAAAUUUCAGAUUUGGGAUUGGCAAAUGUAAUGAGAAUGAUUGGAGAGGGUGUGUGAUUGAGGAAAAGUGUUGAAGUUGUUGUUAUUAUAGGUAGUGGAGAGGUAAUUAAUAAGGACCGGUGAUAGUGUCUAUGACUGCUGUUGACCUCUUUUUCAUAAGAAUAAAAUCAGUGACAAGAGGAUGCUGC